CCGCUGAAGUACCCGUGGUGCUGAUUGGCCUGGUGCACAUGGGGUGACAUCAGGCGGUGGGCCGGCCAGGCAGAGGCAGGGGCAGGGCGGGCUAGCCCGUGGGCGCCAUCGCUCACUCGGGACGUGCUUCAAGCUCCCUUCUUCCAGGGGACCAGAGACCAGAGUGGGAGUGUACUGGACCUGUGUAACAGAGGAAUACCCUACCCUAGGAGGUUCACAUCUUUAUCUUUUGAGCCUGUGAAUAUUCUCACUGACAUGACAAAGAGCCCCUUUGGAUGGAUUAAGUUAAGUGCUUUGACAUGGAGAAGAACAUCUUGCAGGGACUAUUUCCUAGCUGUGAUCAGAUGGCAAUGAGACAAAGGAGAAAUGGGCAGAGGGAGGGAAUGGUGCUGGCUGUGAGGAUGGGGAAAGUUCCAGAGCCAGGAUCAGGGAUAGUCAGCUGUCAAAGGGUAGAGAAGGCUAAAUCAGAGAGUCUCCUGGAGCCUCCUAAAAGGAAUGUUGUCAUAGAAAUGCAAGACCUGUGUGACCUCUGACCCAAGAGAUAAUACAUUUGAAUUGUUUUUAGCCACCAGGUUUGUGGACAUUCACUGCAGAGGCAAUACAAGCUCAGCACAUUGCUCUAAGCUUCCUGAGAUGACCUCUGUCCACCAAGGUGCCUGUGAGGCCCCAGGGACUGUACCCACAAAGAGUUACUGCUCAUUUUUCUCCCAGAUGACUUUUGGGAGUACCUCAAACCUAAGAAUUUGUAGUUUGAAACUUCUUUGUCCAACUUGCAUGAACCUCCCCCUCAUAAGGAUGGGCCCACUGUUAAUAUUCACAUCCUUAAUCUUUUUUAGUAAAGAUUUAUUUAUUUGUUUUAUAUAUAUGAGUGCUCUAUCUGCAUUAUGACUUUAUGCUAGAAGUGGGCAUCAGAUUCCACUACAGACGGUUGUGAGCCACCACAUGGUUGCUGCUGGGAAUUGAACUCAGGACUUCUGGAAGAGCAGCUGGUGCUCUUAACUGCUGAGCCAUCUCUCCAGCCCCCACACUAUUAAUCUUGUAGGUGACCAAGAGUAUGUAGUAAAUGGGUUUGGACAAAAUCGGGUCUGCCCAGGAGGGUCUUCAGUGUUGGAACAUGUGGGUGAGAAGAGGAGAGACAGGCUGAGGGCUGCUAGACAGAUCUGAGACAAGACAGAGAAGGCUACUAGGAAAGUUGGGGUUCAUUUUUGGGAUUCUUAUUCUCACUAUAAAAGAAUUUAGAAAUGGACUCAGAAGAAAGUUUGAGGGUGAUUUUAUUAGAUUUGAGAUUUAAAAAAAAUCCAAACAGACAAAAACAGAGCAGUCAGCUGUGAAUCUCAGCAGUUGUCUGCAGGAAGGAGAUGUAGGCAGAGAGAAAGAGAUCUGUGCCUCUGGAGCCAGUAUUCUGGAAAGGUGUCAGGUCCAGCAGUGCAGAAUGGCAAGCAUCCCCAUUGUGGACUAGCUACUUGUAGCAGAAGGCAAGAUGGCUUCAGAGAAGGCAUGAGAAAUCCUAAAGUGUCCAGGAAAGCAUGCUUAGGCUUUGGGCCAGUAUUUGAGGGAAAAGAAUAGAAAGAAGAAAAGGAAUAGUUAUAUUUUAGGAGUAAGAAUUCAGAGAAAUACACAGGCUUAACUGUGCUGCCCAGAGAGAAGGACUGUAGUUGACUGAACUGAAAGAGGGGCUUUAGGAAACUGUAAGUAUAUUAUUUCAUUCGGAGAUAAUUAUGUUUCCCACCUUCUCUGCAUAGCUCUAGGUGAAUCAGACUUUCAGAGAAGUGGUCUCCUGACAAGGUGAUUGGCAGAGACAGCUAAAUUAACUGUUAAGAAAAGAGACACCAGGCAGUGGUGGCUCACACCUUUAAUCCCAGCAGAGGCAGGUGGGAUCUCUGUGAGAUCAAGGUCAGCCUGAUCCACAGAGCUAAUUCCAGUAAAUCAUGGCUACACAGAGAAACCCUGUCUCAAAAAGAAGAAAGAAAGGAAGAAAGAAAGAAAGAAAGAAAGAAAGAAAGGAAGGAAGGAAGGAAGGAAGAAAGCCAGACUAAAAGCAACAGAGACAAUACAAAGAAAGAAAGAGACAAUAACAUGUAAUGUUCUGAUCUUUGAAGCAAAUCAGAAUGUUGUGUCUCUACCCAAGGCCAGAGAUAUUCCAUUCUUUUGUUCAGGUGGCUUAAAGAGGGGCAGGUACAAUAUAGCAAUAACUUCAUAUGUAUGUAUGACCAAUGUAUUUGCAAAUACAUUCUUGAAAAUGGUCCAGAUUUUAUAGGCUAGACUUUAAUAUGCUGGCUCUGUGUCAUAGACAUCUUCCUUUACAAAAGCUGGAGGAAGAGCAAUAACUCAUUGUUUGAUCAUUUUUCUAGCAUGGGCCAAGCUCUAGGUACAAUCCUUAGUACAGAAAGAAAACAAAGAAGGAAGGGAGGGAGGGAGAGAGAGAGGUGGAGGGAGGGAGGAAGGGAAGAAGGGAAGUAAGGCAAGCUAUGGGUUUUAUGGCAGUUUACUCAAGUGUUGAAAUCUGACAAAACACCACAACCUUGGGGCCCAUGGGAAAUUCUCCUGAAGCUGGUUCUGACUCAACUCCUUACUCUGAUGCACAGAGGGUGUUAAUCCCACAGGAGCAGAAGUUUCAAGACAUCAAAGGACUGAGACUAGCCAGAGACCUCCCUCCAUCUAAGACAGCUAAGCCAUGAGCUUUGCUGUCCUGGCUAAGGCUUCUGAGGGUACCCUGGGUGGCUCCUGCUGAACCUGAAUGAGUCUAGUCACUCAUCAGAAGCUCCUGGAGUUCCUGGCAGCCUCUGAAUGUCUACAAAAGGAUUAAUCAGCUGCAGAGAGCAGAUGCAGAUGCCAAAAGGACUCUUCACUAGCAUAGGACCAAAGACGUUCAAGGUUCGGCAUGGCCAAUGUACAUCUCAGUGGCUGGGUAUUGACUGUGUCAAUUUGCAGUGGACUAAGUGUCUUGGCAAGAGAAAUUGUCCUCCAGCUGGAACCUGAGGACUGGAGCAGAGGUCCUUUGUCAGGCGAUGUUCCUGAAUGAGACUCAUGGCAAGUGACCAGGUGAUGGGUCAACACAACUGACACAUCUCAUUCUUGAGGUGCUUCCUCUUUUAUGGUCCCAGUGGAGGAGAUUCCAUCAGAUGUGAUUCAUAAGCUCCUGCUUUUUAUCCUCCUACUUCUCCUAUGUGAUUUGGUUUAUUCCCAAGCAUCAAUAUUUACUGACAUGAGUAAAUCAUUUGUGUUUCUUAGUGUGCUGG
ensembl:lncRNA